GACCCGACUGCUAUUUGGGUGAGGAUAAGCCAUGCGAGUCGAAUGGGAUACCUAAAUUUCCCAUGGCAAACUGCUCAAUAACACAUGAUCAACUUACCCUAUAGAGAAAAAUAACCUCGGGAAACUGAGGAUAAUGUUUCAUAGUUGAAAAGGCUUGGAAAAGUUUUUCGACCAAAGGGAUAAGAAAAAUGGUUUUUAUCCGCUAUAGGAUAGGAUCGUGGUCGAUUAUGGUCGUUGGUGAGGUAAUGGCUCACCAAGCCGAUAAUCGAUAGGGGCCGUGAGAGCGGGAGCCCCGAGAUGGGUACUGAGACAGCGACCCAGGUCUUACGAGACGCAGCAGGCGCGGAACCUCCGCAAUACACGAAAGUGUGACGGGGUUACCCAAAGUGUUCAAUUUUGAACUGUGGUAGGUGAGUAAUGUUCCCUACUAGAAAGGAGAGGGCAAGGCUGGUGCCAGCCGCCGCGGUAAAACCAGCUCUUCAAGUGGUCGGGAUAAUUAUUGGGCUUAAAGUGUCCGUAGCCGGUUUAGUAAGUUCCUGGUAAAAUCGGGUAGCUUAACUAUCUGCAUGCUAGGAAUACUGCUAUACUAGAGGGCGGGAGAGGUCUGAGGUACUACAGGGGUAGGGGUGAAAUCUUAUAAUCCUUGUAGGACCACCAGUGGCGAAGGCGUCAGACUGGAACGUGCCUGACGGUGAGGGACGAAAGCCAGGGGAGCGAACCGGAUUAGAUACCCGGGUAGUCCUGGCCGUAAACGAUGCAUACUAGGUGAUGGCAUGGNCCAUGAGCCGUGUCAGUGCCGUAGGGAAACCGUUAAGUGUGCCGCCUGGGAAGUACGGUCGCAAGGCUAAAACUUAAA
rnacentral:rRNA from 1 species